rnacentral:rRNA from 1 species
UACGAAGGGGGCUAGCGUUGUUCGGAAUUACUGGGCGUAAAGGGCGCGUAGGCGGCACUGUUAGUCAGGCGUGAAAGUCCUGGGCUCAACCUGGGAACUGCGCUUGAUACGGCAGAGCUAGAGGAUGGAAGAGGGUGGCGGAAUUCCCAGUGUAGAGGUGAAAUUCGUAGAUAUUGGGAAGAACACCGGUGGCGAAGGCGGCGACCUGGUCCAUUACUGACGCUGAGGCGCGACAGCGUGGGGAGCAAACAGG